UACUCCUGAUUGACCGAUAGUGAACCAGGACCGUGAGGGAAAGGCGAAAAGAACCCCGGCGAGGGGAGUGAAACAGAACCUGAAACCGUGUACGUACAAGCAGUAGGAGCCCCAUCACUCAAGUGCCUCGCACUGAGUGAUGCAAGACCAUCACCGAAAAUAGCGCCGAAUUUGCUAACAAGGUUGGUCGAUUUUUUCAAGCCGUCGCGCAGUGUCCCUAGAAGUACACGAGCAAGGGAAGUUAAAAAAUCGGGCAAGAUUGAACGCAAAGGCAAGCGGGACAUUUGAGGAUGGGGUGACU
rnacentral:rRNA from 1 species